UACGAAGGGGGCUAGCGUUGCUCGGAAUGACUGGGCGUAAAGGGCGCGUAGGCGGAUGGCACAGUCAGAUGUGAAAUUCCCGGGCAUAACCUGGGGGCUGCAUUUGAUACGUGUGAUCUAGAGUGAGGAAGAGGGUCGUGGAAUUCCCAGUGUAGAGGUGAAAUUCGUAGAUAUUGGGAAGAACACCGGUGGCGAAGGCGGCGACCUGGUCCUUGACUGACGCUGAGGCGCGAAAGCGUGGGGAGCAAACAGG
rnacentral:rRNA from 1 species